GGCGGGAAGCCUAGGCAAAACCCAAAGUCCCUCGUUCGAAAAUACUCUCGUGUACCUCAAUCCGCCGUCUCCUUUCGCCCUCGGAUCGCUCGAUUUCUUCAAUCGAAUACACUCCCCUUCGAACGCAGGAUUCCUUCAAUCCAAAAACCCUAGUGAAAUCCUCUCCUCGCCCCUCCCCUUCGAUGGCCCGAUUCCUCCUAUCGACCAACCCUAGAGCCAACCCCUCCGUUCCCUCCGAUCUCGCCCGAUUUCUCCAAUCGAGAAACCAUGGGGCGAACUUUAGUUAGAUCGCUCGAUCCUGUUUGUGGAAACGAAGCUUCUUGUUGGAGCCAAGGUUUCUGAACGGAAGAGUCGUCUUGUAUUUGGCAACAAUUCUGAUGAAGUUGAUGCGGACGUGGAAUCAAAUCUUGCGCGAGAAAGUCAUGGGCAACCCAUUCAGCGGCAGAGCGAAAGGUCCAAACUGUAUUCCACUCUGCAAUCCUGAUACAGACCACCUGACGGAGGAAAAUACAACAUCCACACAAGCAAUCAGAAAUAUUAGAUGAUCGUGAAAUGACGUUGUCUUUGGGCCAGGAUACCGACCUGUAUUUGGUCGUGAGGUGAUGGAGCAGGACCAGCAUCUCCAGCUUGGCCAGCUCGUUACCAGGGCACGAGUGGGACCCAUUUCCAAACGG